AUGGAGCGGCAGCCGGCAGUCCGGCGACGGCGAGCUCAAGACACUAAUGGAUUGGUUGCUUCACAGGCCAAAAUAAAUGUCUUGCCCUGUCAGCAAGAUGAUGAUUCUCAGGGUGAUUCACAGAUGCCAAACCUUCCAGAGGACAUUUGGCGUCACAUACAUUCCCUGAUGCCAAUGCGAGAUGCUGCCCAAGCUGCCUGUGUCUGUCAUGCUUUUCUACGUUCCUGGAGGUGCCAUCCCAACCUCACUUUUUCUGGCACAGCAUUGGGUAUGAAUAAAAAGACUUGUGUAAAUGAUGAAAUUGCCAGAGACUUUCGUAGCAAGGUUGACCAGAUCCUGAAAAAACACUCAGGCAUUGGUGUGAAGAAACUUAAACUUACGAUUGACAUGAUUCAAUAUUACACUGCCAAGGAUUAUUGUUAUGUCAACAGUUGGCUUCUGAUUGCUGUCACACCAGGAAUUGAGGAACUUACACUCCAACUGUCUAUGGGGGAAUACAAUUUUCCAUGCUCACUUUUGUCUAAUGGGAGUGGAGAGUCAAUCCGUUAUCUCCAUCUUUGUGGUUGCUCCUUUCGACCCACAGCUGAACUUCCUUGGUUAAAAAGCUUGACAAAAGUGCGGCUUCAUGCUGUCCGUUUUACUGGGGAUGAGUUAGGGUGCCUUCUGUGCAAUUCUUUUGCUUUGGAGCGGUUGGUUCUCACGCAUUGUGAUGAGAUGGUUUGCUUGAAGAUCCCUUGCAUGCUGCGCCGGCUCAGGUACCUACAGGUUUUUGGCUGUGAAGAUCUGCGAGCGAUAGACAACAAAGCUCCAAAUAUAUCCAGCUUCUUGUACAGCGGAGAACACAUUCAACUGUCACUUGGAGACACAUUGAAAAUGGAGUACAUACACUUGUAUUUCGGACGUGCACUUCAUUAUGCUUGUGUUGAACUUCCAUCCAGCAUGCCAAACCUCAAAAUUGCUAAUAUAGAUUCGAGAAGCGAGAUGGCCAAUACACCAGUGCCGCGCAGCAAGUUUCUCCACCUCAAGAAGCUAAUUAUUAGUCUUGACAUAAUAGCCUUUUCCUAUGAUUAUUUUUCUCUAGUUUCCUUGCUUGGCGCUUGCCCCUCCUUGGAGACACUGGUCUUGGAUGUAUCCAAGGAGAAAAUGGAGCAUGUCUCCAUAUUCACAGAUCCCUCAGAUCUGAGGAAAGGACAGCAGCAUCACAAGAUGAAGAGAGUGAAGAUCCUAGGAUUCACAUCUGCAAAGAGUCUUGUUGAGCUUACUUGCCAUUUUCUUGAGAGCAUAACAUCACUUGAAUACCUUAGGCUGGAGUCGUAUCAGAGUCGUCCAAGGUGUUGUGUGCCUGCUAACAAACGUCGCAAGUGCUUCCCACUGCCCAUUGAUGUUCUGAGGGAAGCUCAACGAGGACUCUUGGCUAUCAGGACAUACAUUGAGCCUAAAGUCCCUUCCAUGGUAAAGCUACGUGUGGUUGAGCCUUGCCGCCGUUGCCAUGCUGCUGUUGAACUUUAG
rnacentral:rRNA from 1 species